rnacentral:tRNA from 1 species
GGAAUAUGCCUCAGUGGUAGAGCACUUGCCUGGCAUGCAUGAAGUCCUGGGUUCAAUCCCCAGCACCA